rnacentral:rRNA from 1 species
GAUGAACGCUGGCGGCGUGCCUAAUACAUGCAAGUCGAGCGAACGGACGAGAAGCUUGCUUUUCUGAUGUUAGCGGCGGACGGGUGAGUAACACGUGGAUAACCUACCUAUAAGACUGGGAUAACUUCGGGAAACCGGAGCUAAUACCGGAUAAUAUUUUGAACCGCAUGGUUCAAAAGUGACAGACGGUCUUGCUGUCACUUAUAGAUGGAUCCGCGCUGCAUUAGCUAGUUGGUAAGGUAACGGCUUACCAAGGCAACGAUGCAUAGCCGACCUGAGAGGGUGAUCGGCCACACUGGAACUGAGACACGGUCCAGACUCCUACGGGAGGCAGCAGUAGGGAAUCUUCCGCAAUGGGCGAAAGCCUGACGGAGCAACGCCGCGUGAGUGAUGAAGGUCUUCGGAUCGUAAAACUCUGUUAUUAGGGAAGAACAUAUGUGUAAGUAACUGUGCACAUCUUGACGGUACCUAAUCAGAAAGCCACGGCUAACUACGUG